rnacentral:rRNA from 1 species
CGAACGCUGGCGGCGUGCUUAACACAUGCAAGUCGAACGCGAAAGGGACUUCGGGUCCUGAGUAAAGUGGCGCACGGGUGAGUAACGCGUAGAUAACCUGUCUUCAUGUCUGGAAUAAUACGCCGAAAGGGGUACUAAUACCGGAUAUUCUUGCUUUUCAUAAGUUAUGCAAGCAAAGGUGGCCUCUGCAUAUGCUACUGCAUGAAGAGGGGUCUGCGUACCAUUAGCUAGUAGGUGGGGUAAUGGCCUACCUAGGCGACGAUGGUUAGCGGGUCUGAGAGGAUGAUCCGCCACACUGGCACUGGAACACGGGCCAGACUCCUACGGGAGGCAGCAGUGAGGAAUAUUGCGCAAUGGGGGAAACCCUGACGCAGCGACGCCGCGUGAGUGAAGGAAGGCCUUCGGGUCGUAAAGCUCUGUCAAGAGGAAAGAAGUGUACAAUGGCUAAUACCUGUUGUAUUUGACGGUACCUCUAAAGGAAGCACCGGCUAACUCCGUGCCAGCAGCGGC